AAUGCUGCCAGGGUCUUUGGGACCUUGGUCCUUGCUUAGCCUCUGCAGUACAGAUUGGGACUCUGUCAGCCUCUAUGAACUCCCUCCCUCCAGAUCACUACAAGAACCCUGGACCUGGAGUGCCAUCAAACCAUCUCAGCUUGUUGUCUCCGGGCUAACUCAGGCUGACAGGGUCUCUCACUGAGCCUGCGGAUUACAGAUCUGGCUGCACUGACUGACAUGGCCCUGGGAUCUGUGUGUCCCUAGUCACAUGUGCCCAGAGUAGAAGCAAGUAGUAGGAGCAAAAGGUAAACUGCUUUCCGAUUUGUUUACCUGUCAUCACCUGGAGAUGUCUCAGCGUAUCCAGCAUCUGUCACACCUGGAGAAACGCCCUCCCUGCCCUGUGAGACCACCUCCCAGCUGAAUAUGAAGGUCUUCACCUAGAAACUUUGAACCCUGUGUGGGCAAAGAAAGAGGCGGGUCUUUCCCACCACCAGCAGCUAGUGCUACCCUGUCCCCUUUGUCUCCAUAGUCCUCAUGGCCCCCUGCUUGCCUAGCGUGUAUCUCUGCAGCAUGACUCUUGUUUCAUGGGGUUUAGUUUCCUGGAAGUGGAAAGAACAGUCAUCCAUGUGGUUCAUCUGGAGCCUUGGGUAUCGGCCAACAAGUCAGCCUCUGCGGUCGGCCUCCUCUCCUGGGAAGCAGAGGAAAGAAAGAGGGUUGUUCUCCUUUUUAUUUCCCCGAAAUGUGCAUCUCUAAAGCACUGGGAGAAACAGUGCUGGGAAGAAACGUCACUGCUCACUCAAGAUGCCAAGCAGUGCCUGGAGGAAGAAAGAGUGGGCAUUUGGCCAUCAGAGCCAACCCAAAGGAGUCUUCAAAGGAGGAAGACUUGAAGGAUCCAGGAGGAAUCUAGGAGGCAAAGGCCGUACUUCUGUCUUAGCAAGUUUUACUCCUCUGUCCCCUACUGAAACAUUCCGUGUAUCUUUACCUCUGCAAACCGCAGCUGGUUCUAGGAGAAGAGAGGCGGUCUGAGGAUGUCACCACAUGGAUGGGAGUGAGGAACAAGCAGAGGAAGGAGAAGAGGACUCAGGCCAUGCUCACGCGAAGCUAAUUUGAAGAUCGUUUUCUGAACAUCUCCCUUUGGUCUGCAACAUCAUUCCUCAUUUCCUGCCUGAGAAAAGGCAUCCUGGGUCCACUGGGGAAAUUUAUUUUGAUAGACUUUCAAAGAAGUCUUGCUUACGUGUGCAAAAUUGGCACAUUACUUAUAGACAAUUUGUGUGUGUGCUU